rnacentral:rRNA from 1 species
UACGUAGGGUGCAAGCGUUGUCUGGAAUUAUUGGGCGUAAAGAGCUUGUAGGCGGUUUGUCGCGUCUGCUGUGAAAUUUCGGGGCUCAACCCCGAACUUGCAGUGGGUACGGGCAGACUAGAGUUCGGCAGGGGAGACUGGAAUUCCUGGUGUAGCGGUGAAAUGCGCAGAUAUCAGGAGGAACACCGGUGGCGAAGGCGGGUCUCUGGGCCGAUACUGACGCUGAGGAGCGAAAGCGUGGGGAGCGAACAGG